UGAAGGUCACUGUGAAAAAAAUAUUAAUUUUGAAGAUGGUACGAAACUACAUAAAGAAAAGACCAGAACCUUCGUGGACGGAAGAAACUAUGAUAAAAGCAUUGGAAGUGAUAAAACAUUUGAUUCGAAAAAUAAACAGUAAAAAUUAAUAUUUGUUUUCUAACUGUAAAGUUUCUAAACUAUAUAAUUUCUACAAA
rnacentral:lncRNA from 1 species